CCCUUAGAUGUUCUGGGCCGCACGCGCGCUACACUGAUGCAUUCAACGAGUCUAAAACCUGGUCUGAUAGGGCUGGGUAAUCUUUUGAAUGUGCAUCGUGAUUGGGAUAGAUGAUUGCAAUUCUUCAUCUUCAACGAGGAAUGCCUAGUAAACGCAAGUCAUCAGCUUGCAUUGAUUACGUCCCUGCCCUUUGUACACACCGCCCGUCGCUCCUACCGAUUGAAUAUUCCGAUGAAUACCAUGGACUGAGAGUAUGAAUGGGUUCGCCUAUUUCUGCUUCUCGGGAAGUGGAGUAAAUCUUAACAUUUAGAGGAAGGAGAAGUCGUAACA
rnacentral:rRNA from 1 species